rnacentral:tRNA from 1 species
GUAAGCAUAGUUUAACAAAAACAUCAAACUGUGAAUUUGGUAAUAGAAGCUCACGCUCCUUGCUUACC